rnacentral:rRNA from 1 species
AGCAGCCGCGGUAAUUCCAGCUCCAAUAGCGUAUAUUAAAGUUGUUGCAGUUAAAAGCUCGUAGUUGAAUUUCGGAGUUUAUCGGUUGGUCGGGCUUCACUGUCCGCACUGACCUGAUGGAUUCCUACCUUCUGAAUAACCCAGCAUGCUAUUAAAUUAGUGCGUUGGGGAAGCAGGGCUAUUACCUUGAAAAAAUUAGAGUGCUUAAAGCAGGCUUAUGCUUGAAUAGAUUAGCAUGGAAUAAUAAAAUAGGACGGCAUGGUUCUAUUUUGUUGGUUUCUAGGAUCACCGUAAUGAUUAAUAGGGAUAGUUGGGGGCAUUAGUAUUCAAUUGUCAGAGGUGAAAUUCUUGGAUUUAUUGAAGACUAACUUCUGCGAAAGCAUUUGCCAAGGAUGUUUUCAUUAAUCAAGAACGAAAGUUAGGGGAUCGAAGACGAUCAGAUACCGUCGUAGUCUUAACCAUAAACUAUGCCGACUAGGGAUCGGACGAUGUUAAUUUUUUCAAUGACUCGUUCGGCGCC